UACGUAGGGGGCGAGCGUUGUCCGAAGUUACUGGGCGUAAAGGGCGCGUAGGCGGAUAUCUAAGUUGGGGGUGAAAUCCCGGGGCUCAACCUCGGAAUUGCCUUCAAAACUGGAUAUCUUGAGUUCGGGAGAGGUGAGUGGGACUCCGAGUGUAGAGGUGAAAUUCGUAGAUAUUCGGAAGAACACCAGUGGCGAAGGCGACUCACUGGCCCGAUACUGACGCUGAGGCGCGAAAGCGUGGGGAGCAAACAGG
rnacentral:rRNA from 1 species